ensembl:lncRNA
GUGAAACCAUAGAGCACCGUACAGCUGCCAAGUGGUGGGGCCAUUCUGUCACUGUGUAACCUAAGAAGAACUGAACCCAGUGGCGUGUCCUCUGCUCAGAAGCCGUGGUGACUCCGCACUGUGGACCAGAACAAUUUCCUGGGAGAGGAACCCAAGAGGUGAAGAGGAACCCAAGAGGCGAAGAGGAACCCAAGUGAGGUGGGGGCAAGUUUUCCACAUGGAAAAGCCUCCAUUCAGCAGGGAACUCAGAUCUGCCAGAGAAUAAAUACGAGUGAAACUUAAAAAACAUGAGGGUGGAAGCCGACAUUAAAGCGACGCCCACCAGCAACUCAUUGAGAAUAAAGCCCUCCUGAGUGUAGCAAGUUAAGAGUGUCUAUCAC